CAAAAGAAAAUGUGAUGUCAACUACAGACAAAAGCUAAAGGAAAAGAUGGGCAUUUCUUCUGGGACUUGUACCUGGUUGCAGUAAGGUUAAACGCAAGGAAACAAUGCUAGAUGAAAUCAUUAACUAUGUAUUGUCACUUCAGCGACUGGUUGAGAUAUU